AGAGAAUAACUCAUCGGUCAAAGUUAGCACGGAGUUAUUUCCCUUUCCUUCCUGACCCAACAUGGCUGCCUCGAGUACACAUGGAUCGUUUUCCAAGAGAAGAAAGAGAGAAAGUCACAACAAGAAGAACGUAAGAAGACAAAAAUAUACUCGGGAAGUUAUGGUAAGUAAACUGAUUUGCAUUGAAUGAAGUAAAACUCAAGUGGAUCCAAAUGUGUCUUCACUUGUUUUCAAAAGUCUGAGGUAUGAACAUAUUUGCUUGUUAGAGUGGUUGACUUCUUUUUACAUUUUCUUUAAAGAGAUGACACGCUAUGGCGACCCCUAACGGGACAAGCCGAAAGGAAAAGAAAAAGAAGAAGAAUGACACACCGCAACACCAUAAGGAGACCUAGUUUUCCUCGCCGCUCCACCCCGAAAUGUGCUCAGGAAUAUUCAAUGACAUUCCCACCAGGAAGACAACAGGAAGCGAGGAGGUUCAGGGAGGGCGCGAAGACGUGAUCGAAGUGGCGUCUGGGGCUGCAAAGCGAGGUCCGGGCGUCGCCACCCGCGUUUGAUCUGACGGGAGUCAAGGCUCCAGCACUCCCCACAACCCUCGUGAGGAUAAGCGGCAAAGAAAAUGGAUGGAUGGAUGGAAGUGGCUCCAUACUGGACAGCUGGAGAAGCAAAUCAAACGCACCUUUGCUAGUAGAGGCAAAAGACGUUAUCCUCACAGGUGAGCUAAUCCAUACUGUAGCCAUAAUCCUCCCCCACACAUUAUUUUAUGCCUGGGGCUCCGUACAUUAGUUACUAUAUGGACAUUGAGUUUUCAAGUUGUUUGUUUUUUUCUUGAGUACCACCACAAUAGAUUCUCAAUAAAAUGAUCAGCGUGUGAUUUCAGCGUAGACUUUAUAACUUUGGCACUCCUGUUCGUCAAUUAGAGCCUUUGUGUGCAUAGUAACUUCAUUUUCUCAGGCUCAAAAGUAAGAGGUUAAGCGGUGGUCCGGUCCUUUGUUACUUCGAGACAAAUGAAGGUAAUAUCGGGUAUUGAGUUGGGAUUUGGCCGCUGUUCGACUGAAGCUCCCGAUAUGAAGUCCAGGGAGAUCUCGGUGCAAGUGCAGUAGAACAGGAUAAAUCUGUAAACUAGAUGGGGAAGAAAAACAAGAGAUGUGACCAAAUUAACAGAAAGAGGCAAAGUACUGGUGAGCUCAACAGCGAAAGAAGGUGUGGAAACCCACUCACGUCUGGAACUUUAACGUGUCUGUCAAACUCGAGGCUCAUGGGCCAGAUAUGGCCUUCUGUGUCAUUUAUUGUGGGACGCCAAAGGUUGCCACAAAUGUUACUUGACUUGUGUUCAAAACUAGCUAUCCGUCAUUAAAAUAAUUACAAAUGCAGGGGCGAUCACAUCGGAUGUUGGGGCAAUUAUUAAGGUUCCCACAAAGAACCAAUCAGACAACAAGUGGAAUGAACACACAGUGUUGUUGCGCUUGUCGGCAUUGUUUGUUUUCUAAAAAGAACACAAUCUAAUGAUGUUGCACUUUCCUUAAAAAAUACAAAAGAUUUAAAGAUGUGGCUUUUUCGUUUUCAGUGAUAUAAGCUCCUGUCUUCACAAAAGG